ensembl:lncRNA
AGAAACUGAAAGCUGGAAUGUAACUUGAAAAUAAUCCUUUCCAAAACCACAUUUAAUAGUUCCUCAGGGACAAAGGAGUAUCAUACACUGGGGAAGAAGGAAAGCGCACUGCCAAGUCUGCCUUCCAGUCUCUUCUCUAUGUAUCUAGAUAAUAGUACUUUCGAAGGCAGGACCCUGUCUCCACGUUUUCCUCAAAGUGACUAUGACUCUGCAACUCAGAGUUGCUCAGCUGCUGUUGCUGUUGGAUCACUGGAAGGUCUGGCUGGUCAUGUAUACACUGAGCAAGAAAAGUUCUUCAACAUUACAGGGAAGUUAACGUAUGGGCAAGUUAACUGUAGCUUAGAAAACAAGCAUAAUGUAGAAAUAAACAAGACAAUGGCAUGCAAGGACCAGAAAAUACAUGAUUUUCUUUUUUCAGUCUUUCUUGGGCUAUUUUCAAGAUUCUGCUAAGCAUUGGGUUCCACUCUUUUUUGCUAAGGAGAGGUAAGAACCUGGAAAGGG